rnacentral:rRNA from 1 species
CAAUAGCGUAUAUUAAAGUUGUUGCAGUUAAAAAACUCGUAGUUGGAUCUGUGGUGUACGGUGGGCUCCGGGCACUUGUUGUCUGAGUAGCUUGCCGUUGCCAUCCUUGGGUGGAACCUGUGUGGCAUUAGGUUGUCGUGCAGGGGAUGCCCAUCGUUUACUGUGAAAAAAUUAGAGUGUUCAAAGCAGGCUUAUGCCGUUGAAUAUAUUAGCAUGGAAUAAUGAGAUAGGACUUUUUCGCUAUUUUGUUGGUUUGCGCGAAGAGGUAAUGAUUAAUAGGGACAGUUGGGGGUAUUCGUAUUCCAUUGUCAGAGGUGAAAUUCUUGGAUUUUUGGAAGACGAACUACUGCGAAAGCAUUUACCAAGGAUGUUUUCAUUAA